rnacentral:misc_RNA from 1 species
GAUGAAGAACGUAGCGAAAUGCGAUAAGUAGUGUGAAUUGCAGAAUUCAGUGAAUCAUCGAAUCUUUGAACGCACAUUGCGCCCUUUGGUAUUCCAAAGGGCAUGCCUGUUCGAGCGUCAUUUGUACCCUCAAGCUUUGCUUGGUGUUGGGCGUCUUGUCUCUAGCUUUGCUGGAGACUCGCCUUAAAGUAAUUGGCAGCCGGCCUACUGGUUUCGGAGCGCAGCACAAGUCGCACUCUCUAUCAGCAAAGGUCUAGCAUCCAUUAAGCCUUUUUUUCAACUUUUGACCUCGGAUCAGGUAGGGAUACGCGCUGAACUUAAGCAUAUCAAUAAGCGGAGGA